AUAGCUGGUUCUCCUCGAAAUAGCUUUAGGGCUAGCCUCAGAACACUACAUUUUGGAGGUAGAGCACUGAAUGAAAGCGAGCCGCGCCAAGCGGUAUCAAUUUCAAUCAAACUCCGAAUUCCGAGAUGCUUAUUCUGGGAGUCAGACUGUGGGAGAUAAGUUUCAUGGUCAAAAGGGCAACAGCCCGGACCGCCAACUAAGGUCCCUAAAUUCGCGCUAAGUGUUAAAGGAUGUAGAGAUACUUAAACAGCUAGGAUGUUGGCUCAGAGGCAGCCAUCAUUUAAAGAAUGCGUAACAGCUCACUAGUCAAGUGUCUCCGCGCCGAAAAUUUACCGGGGCUAAGCGCGAUACCGAAGUUGCGGAUAUUUCUAAAGAAAUGUGGUAGGGGAGCGUUCCAUUAGCAUAGAAGCCAUACCGGAAGGAGUGGUGGAGCGAAUGGAAGUGAGAAUGCCGGCGUAAGUAACGAUAAGAGGUGAGAAUCCUCUUCACCAUUUGACUAAGGUUUCCUGGGCUAGGUUCGUCCACCCAGGGUCAGUCGGGACCUAAGACGAGGCCGAAAGGCGUAGCCGAUGGACAGCAGGUUAAUAUUCCUGAACCCGGUUGUGUGCGAUCGCAGUGACGAAAGCGGUUAGGUUUACCCACGAAUGGAAGUGUGGGGAGAUAGUGAUAAGCUGUCGGCUAGAAUCCGACACCAAGUGAAACACCGAAGUACGAAAGGGGUGACCUGAGUAGGAAGUAGCUGAUACCGAUUUCCAAGAAAAGCUGCUAGCUUAAGCACAAUCGGCCCGUACCGAGAACGGACACACGUGGUCAAGGAGAGUAUCCUAAGGUGAGCGAGAUAACUGUUGUUAAGGAACUCUGCAAAAUUACUUCGUAAGUUAGCGAGAAGAAGUGCUCCGUAAAAGGAGCCGCAGUGAAGAGGCCCAAGUAACUGUUUACCAAAAACACAGCUCUAUGCUAAGUCGUAAGACGAUGUAUAUGGGGUGAAGCCUGCCCGGUGCCGGAAGGUUAAUAGGAGAGGUGAAAGCUUUGAAUUGAAGCCCCGGUGAACGGCGGCCGUAACUAUAACGGUCCUAAGGUAGCGAAAUUCCUUGUCAGGUAAGGUCUGACGGGCACGAAUGGUUUAAUAAUUUGGGCGCUGUCUCGACAGCAGACUCGGUGAAAUCUUAAUACCGGUGAAGAUGCCGGUUACCCGCGACUAGACGGAAAGACCCCAUGGAGCUUUACUACAACUUAAUAUUGAGUAAUUGCAAAUCAUGUAGAGGAUAGGUGGGAGGCUAUGAAGUAAUGGCGCUAGCUAUUAUGGAGCCGCCCUUGGAAUACCACCCUUGAUUUACAGUUAUUCUAACUUCCUCCCUGGA
rnacentral:rRNA from 1 species